rnacentral:lncRNA from 1 species
CCUGCAGAAUGCAGAAGUUCCCAGGCCAGGGACUGAACCUGAGCCACAGCAAGUGACAAUGCCAGAUUCUUAGCCCCUAAGCUACUGGGGAACUCCCUAUAUAAGGAAUUUAAAGCUUGUAACUGAGAAGUUUAUUAAUUGAUAAUUAGGAAACUAACUGUUUUGAUAAACCAGAGGUCUUUGGAUAGCCAUUCUCAGCAUGAAGCCUUUGUUCAUCCUUUUCCUAUCUGGAAAAUACAUCCCACCAUGACAUUUUGAGAUUAUAAAUAAUCAGACAAAGAGUGUCAUGGAGGAUCAAGCUCUAAAAGCAGAGAUGAAGAGUUAGAAGAGCGGCUUGCAUAGGGGACGGUCUUAAGGCAGCAGGGUAGCUACAUCCUAGAACAAAGUAAAUGCUAAAAGAAAGCAAACUUCUAAAGUGCCAGAACCCCCAAUAAGGACAAGCCCAGUGCAUUAUAAAGGUCGACACCAGGGCACUACCAUCUACAUCCCUUUCUCAAUGUUUUCAAUUCAGAGGACUGAAGUUUUAUUCUAGGAUAAAAUGUGAUUAUAUGUUGCCGCUUGCCAAAUCAGGCUACAGUCAGCAGACCCCUGAUACAGAAGAAAAGCAAUUCUCAACUAUUCAUUCUCCUCUAAAAUUCUCCCCUCUUUCUUUCAACUUUGAAUAAUUUCAGAUGAGGAAUUAGAGGUUUAAAGGACUCUAUGGAUAAGGGAUCUCAUCUAACUUUCCAAAUGAGAAACUAAAGACUCAGGGCACCCAAGUGACUGGUUUAAGGUGCAGAGGCCGAACGCUGCCUUUUCUCUCCUUCCAUUUUGGGGACACUUUCGCUCAAAUGUGAGGACUCCCUUUAAAGUACACUGGACCUUCACUUAUUCACAGCUUAAAAUAUUUGUUACACUGGAUACUUUUUUCACAUUCUUUUAUUAUGUUCAAGAAAAUCACACCAGAAAAAACUUAAAAUGCUUUUUAGUUUGGCUUGUGCUAGCAUGCUUAGAAUUCUGUCGCCUAAACUCAGUAAACUAUACUGUCCAGUCAGGCUGGACAGAAUGGUCUGGUUCUGAGGGGAAGCCUGAAUAGAGGUGCUAGGUAGAAGGGACCAGUUUCAGGCAUUAACAGUCAAAGUAAGGAGGCACUGCUCCUCUCUCAGUAAAUUCCUCUAGACAUAUGGGGUCACCAAGCAAACAGCUUAUGGGAAGGGUCUAACGCUAUCCAUCUUUUUUCCUAUUACAGAAAUAUGGAAUGAGGAAGAGCACUUUAAUGUCACUUCUUAGAGUAAAUUUGAGAAUAAAAUUUUUUUCAUUUUCCUUCAAAUGGUAAAAACCAAAGUUUAUUCUUUGUACCUGAGUUUCUCAUGGUUUCUGCAUAGCAUUCCUGAUUAAAAGCACUACCUUUAUUACCAAUGAAGAAAUUUUCUAAAUCUAAGCAGGUAUAGUCAGAGAGUCCAAAUGAACUUUCCCUAAAUUUAGUGCUUGAAUUUUAGAACAACUUUAGAGCACAAGUUUACCACCCUCUACCAAAAAAAUCAUUCAGGUGUCAAUUCUGAAUAUAAGGUUUGAAAUUUCUUGGAUCUUUUAAAGUAUAUUCAUACAACAUAUGGAUUUAGAAAAUAUAAUCUCUGAUAAACUGUGUCAUCCAGGUUAUUUACAAAAUGCUAUCACAUACCAGCUCUGAAAAACUAUAAUUCCAUCAGAUACAGAUUUGUGAAAUUUUCAUUCUAAGUAUGAGGUGACAUGUUUUCUCCACAUCACACCCUCACUUUUCAGGUAAGAGAAACGUGACUCCUUUAAGACUGAAAAACAAGCCACAUCCUC